UACGAAGGGUGCAAGCGUUAAUCGGAAUUACUGGGCGUAAAGCGUGCGUAGGCGGUUGCUUAAGUCAGAUGUGAAAGCCCUGGGCUCAACCUGGGAAUGGCAUUUGAAACUGGGCAGCUAGAGUGUGAUAGAGGAUGGCGGAAUUCCCGGUGUAGCGGUGAAAUGCGUAGAUAUCUGGAGGAACACCGGUGGCGAAGGCGGCAUCCUGGACCGGUAUUGACGCUGAGGCGCGAAAGCCAGGGGAGCAAACGGG
rnacentral:rRNA from 1 species